rnacentral:rRNA from 1 species
AAGUUGUUGCGGUUAAAAGCUCGUAGUUGGAUUUCUGUCGAGGAUGUCCGGUCCGCCCUAAAAGCGUGCAUCUGGUUCAGCCUUGGCAUCCUCUUGGGGAACUUACCCCCCCUUAACAGAAAGAUGCGGUAUCCAAGACUUUUACUUUGAGGAAAUUAGAGUGUUCACGGCAGGCAAUCGCCUUGAAUACAUUAGCAUGGAAUAAUAAUAUAGGACCUUGGUCCCAUUUUUUUUGUUUCUGGAACUGAGGUAAUGAUUAAUAGGGAUAAUUGGGGGCAUUCUUAUUAACGUG